AAAAUGGGGCGUUAAAAGAUGUAGGUAUAUUUUCUAUAGGCAAAUCCGUCGAGAAUGCUGAAGUCCAACAGUACCAGGAGGCUCCGGCCGAAUGGAUAGAGAAUGUAAGCAGACUUCCGAGAAAAUCUUCUAAGCAUAUUGAUACGGUACCCGUACCGCAAACCGACACAGGUAGUCAAGGAGAGAAUCCUGAGGUGCUCGAGUGAGUCAUGGCUAAGGAACUAGGCAAAUUAAACCUGUAACUUCGGGAAAAGGGUUGCCUCUCUUUAGCAAUAAAGAAGGUCGCAGAGAAAUGGCCCAGGCGACUGUUUAACAAAAACACAUGGCUAUGCGAAAUCGUAAGAUGAAGUAUAUGGCCUGACACCUGCCCGGUGCUGGAAGGUUAAGGGGGGAAGUUAGUCGCAAGGCGAAGCUUUGAACUGAAGCCCCAGUAACCGGCGGCCGUAACUAUAACGGUCCUAAGGUAGCGAAAUUCCUUGUCGGGUAAGUUCCGACCUGCACGAAUGGUGUAACGAUCUGGGCACUGUCUCAGCCAUGAGCUCGGUGAAAUUGUAGUCACGGUGAAGAUGCCGUGUACCCGUCACGGGACGGAAAGACCCCAUGCACCUUUACUAUAGCUUCGCAUUGACAUUGGGUAGAUGAUGUGUAGGAUAGGUGGGAGGCGUUGAUCCUGUGCCGCUAGGUAUAGGGGAGCCAACGGUGAAAUACCACCCUUUAUUUAUCUGAUGUCUAAUCCGCAAGACCUGCGGAGACAGUGCGUGGUGGGUAGUUUGACUGGGGUGGUCGCCUCCGAAAGUGCAUCGGAGGCUUUCAAAGGUAUGCUCAAUACGCUUGGUAACCGUAUGUGGAGUGCAAUAGCAUAAGCAUGCUUGACUGUGAGACUGACAAGUCGAGCAGGGUCGAAAGACGGAUAUAGUGAUCCGGUGGUUCUGUAUGGAAGGGCCAUCGCUCAAAGGAUAAAAGGUACGCUGGAUAACAGGCUGAUCUCCCCCAAGAGCUCACAUCGACGGGGAGGUUUGGCACCUCGAUGUCGGCUCGUCACAUCCUGGGGCUGGAGAAGGUCCCAAGGGUUAGGCUGUUCGCCUAUUAAAGUGGCACGCGAGCUGGGUUCAGAACGUCGUGAGACAGUUCGGUCCCUAUCUGUGAUGGGCGUAGGAAGUUUGAGAGGAUCUGACCUUAGUACGAGAGGACCGGGUUGGACCAACCGCUGGUGUACCGGUUGUGGCGUCAGCUGCAUCGCCGGGUAGCUACGUUGGGACGAGAUAAGCGCUGAAAGCAUCUAAGCGCGAAACUCACCUCAAGAUGAGACUUCCAUUAAGGGACGUCAGAGACUAUGACGUUGAUAGGCUGCAGGUGUAAAGGCAGAAAUGUCAAAGCUGAGCAGUACUAAUUACUCA
rnacentral:rRNA from 1 species